CCGUUCCUAUAGUGAUAAUCCCGCCUCCAGCCUAACCGUUCAACUGACAACGUAGAUAAACAGGAGGCUGGAAGAACACAGCAAGUCAUGGCCGCAUCUGGAGGAAAGAUAUUGCAUUGUUCGGAACUGUGACCAAUUGAUCAAGCUACAGGAGUGGCUGUGGUGCUACAAAGACAGAGAAAUUGAGGGGAACAGACCAGAAAGCCCAGGACCAACAGCAACCUUUGUAAGCUGCCAUAUGACCUCACCAUGCAGAGGUCACAGCUGACGUUUCCCUCAGGGACAUCCUGCUGGAUGUACAGGAGGCCUGGGAUCUAUCAUCCUCCGGUUGAAUGAGGCGCAAUGCUGCCACAGACUGCGGAUCUUCUGGAGCGGGACCUGCAACCUGAAAGGGUAUGAGUGGAAUGCCCACUAUCACAGAGUUCAAGUGGGCUCCCCACCAGCCCCUCUCAGGAGGAGAUUUCAGAGACCCCAGAGGAAGCAAGACCAAUGCUGCCUCCUGCAACCCGCAUCAACUCAGAUACUGACACUUCGGGGAGAACUGUAACUAGUUGGGAGUACACAGUGGUGAAAACAUCACUGCCAUUUCUCAACAACUAGCUGGGGAAGAAACACCCCAGGCCAUUGGCGCUCAGGACUCUCAGAGACCAGGCUGCUGCUCUGCCCCAGGCAGGAGAGGACCCGGUGGUGUCAGCAAUCAGGGACUUCAUCCACAUGUACAAGGAGAUAGGAGCAAUGGGAGGCAGUGGUCCUCAUAACCCAGAGGCUGCAGGAUUGCAGCUACUCAUUGGGGACCCAGCUGCUGCAAGCAUGGAAUUGUCUCACCACCUCCAUAGACAGGUUGGGCACUGCCGUGCAGAGCCAUAUCCAGCACACAUAAGGUCUGCUAGAUAAAGACCUGCACUCCCUUGCCCUAGGCAUUGAUCCACAGCUGCAAUGGCAAGGCAAUGGGUGGGUCAGGGGAGGGGUGGAACCUUAGGCUGAAGUGUUGUGGAGAGGAGGAAGAAGACCCACUGAAGGUACUUUGGUGGUCGAGGUGACAAUGACUUGAAAAUGAACUUGUGCAUUUAUAUAAAUUUCAGUGCUUCAACUUUACACCUAGUUGUUAGUCUCUCUGUGUUGGCUCAAAAUGCUUAGUGACAGAAUCUGACAUUACUUCAUGGUCACAGUCAAAGUUCCGUGGAUAGAUAUUUGUACUAAGAGAUCUGGACUGCAUCAUCUGGAAGCAAGAGGAAAAAUGCAUGUAAUAUAGCACUGGGCCAUGAUAACACUUUGACCCCCCUCACACAUCAUCAACAUUCAUUUGUGGUCACUAUGUCCAAAAGUCUAUCUGUCAAUUAAUUGUUCAGCUAUGUCUAUGGCAAGGAGGUGCAACACACAGAGGGGUGUGAUGCAUUAGGAUUGGCGGGAAUGUGCCAGUGUGCCCUGCUACUCAAUCUGUCUUUUCAGAGCAUCUUGCCAGUGUAUCAAAGAAGUUUAAUGAUGAUUAUGAGGGUUGCACAUGCUGGGUGUCAAUAUUCAUGGACAAGAGGUGUGUGUUGCUGGUGCCUAUUUAUCGUGUUUGGGCUGCAGUUUGAUCGAACACAAUGUGAAUUUUGUUUGGAGCAAGCAGUUAGCUGAAUGCACCAGGAACCUGUUCCGGCUCCCAAGAUGAGAUUUCUGAACUUAUGUGAUCAGUACUUCCGUUCCAUACGCUUGACCAACUUAACCAAGCAACAGCUGUAUUAACUUUACUAAGGUUCAGAAGAAGAUGGAAGAGAAGAAGAAAUGCCAGUCCCAAUAGAACCAGAGACACAAGGCUCAGGAGGCUGCAGCUGUGGGUGAAUAAGCAGUGCCUGAAGAGGGGAACUGGGCUUUCAGUGCUGUUGUGCAGUGUACCAAGACAGGAUGUAGUGAAGGUGUUACAGCUUCCUGCAGGUGAAUGAAAUGAAGUAUCAGAAAUGUCUUUGCUUGGCUCAGGAGAUUGUCACCUACAUCUGCCACCUCCUGCAAUUGGGUCUGUAGCCAGUCGGCUUGGAAGGAAACUCUAUGUCUAUGGAACUGAAGCUCACAAUGAUACUGAACUUCCUCGCCACUGACUCCUUUCAAAACCUUAACUGUGGGCAUGUGUGGUAUCUCUAAGUGGAUUUGUGAGAUGCUUUUAACAGGAAAGCAAUAUAAUUUGUCUAGUUCACCAUCAAUCUAGACAGCCAAGGUGCCUGACAAUUUUGUAACCAUCACCGAGCUCCCUCGGGUAUAAUGGAUCAUUGACUGUACAUGUGACCCUCAGAACACUGUGGCAACAUCCAACCAUUUUCAUGAAUAGGAAGGGAUAAUAUUCCCUCAAUGUCCAGUUUGUUUGUGUCCAAAGGCAAACAUUGAGGAGAUGUGUGCCUGCUUUCCACGGACCUGUCACAGUGCUUUCAUUCUACACAACUCCCAGGUUCCUUAAAUGAUGGUUCCCCACCACCACACCACCACACCACCACCCCCAUCCCGAAUGACAAGGGGUACUCCCUGAAGGCAUGGCUAAUGACCGCAUUGUGCAACCUUUAAACUGAUACUGAACAGGGCUACAAUACUGCCCAUGCAUCCACUAGGGCCAUCAUUGAGCAGAGAGUUGGACUUGUAAAGAUGACUUACACUGCCUGGACCACUCAGGAGGACUACUCUAGUACACUUCAGACAGGGUCUCCACAAUAGUGAUUGUUCAUUGCACUCUGCACAACCUUGCUCAGUAACAGGGUGAGAACUUAAAAGAAAAGGAGAUGGAUCAACCACCUGUCUGCUCAGAUGUGGAAGAAGGGGAGCAUGAUGGAGAUGUUGAAGAAGCCAACACUGAUGAUGAUGACUGAAAAAGCCAGGAAAGUAGUGAAGUGAUGCAGAUAGGCCUGGAGAACCUAUUAACAGCAGGCUUUGAGGGAAGAUUACUUUAUAUUAACAUAUGUGGACACUCAGAACUACUACUAACACCUAGAGAUUUUCCUGCUCUCCAUGGAAUACCUGCUUUAAGCUAGUUUGUUUGUCACAAAUUGUUAUUUGUUCCCUUUGCAUCAAUAACCUCAAUUUUCUGGCUACAGCAUUAGUAUGGAGUUAUGCAGGAUAAAAUAGAGGCUGCACUUACAUGACUCAAACUUUUGUUCACAAAGGGCAUUCAUCCAUCACUUAGAUGCAGACAGGCUCAACUACAAUAAUUGAUUCCCUAAACCCAACCAUGUACCUUCAGUUCCUCCUUUCUAGAGAUUAUGUUCCUCCAAGAGGAUACCAUUGAAAAAGAGCUUCAGCACACUUUGUACUACUGCACAUCAUGAGCAUGUGAGGGUCUACAGAGACCAUCACUUCUUAAGAUCGUCUACAUGAAUAAAUAAUCAAAAGCUGAUUGAGAAAGAUGAUAUGAUUGUUGUACAACGUGCCAUAUUUGUGUCAAGUGUAAUGAUGGACAGAAGGUAGACACUCAGGCAACAAAAAUACUUUAAUUUGUUUAUUCUUUCUCUGCUUAUUGUUAUGUUUUCAUGCCAACUCAGUAGUACAGCUAAAUGGGAGGAAACUUGCUGACUGCUUUGCUACAUUACCACUUUAGUGACUUUGCUGGGUAUCUUCUGAUUGUAUGAGGUCUAAAGGGCUCUGGUUUGCUGGGGGCUAUGCACAAAUGUAGAUGAAACAUCCUUGGCUUGACACUACAGAGGUGUUUGGAUUCCUAGCAGCGCAGUGGUGGUGCAGCAGGGAAUCUCUGUAGUGUCCUAACAUGACAGAUCCUAGGUGUUUGGCUGUCACUCAUUUCCCCCUGUUGAUGCACAACAGCACCUACAUCACCCCUUGAGGGGCUGGACCACCUGAAAGAAAGUUCAUGCCCCUUAGGUCUCUUUUGUCUUGCCAGUGAAUGAAUGUAUCCAUGCUUCAAGUGAUGGAGUGAAGGUGCCCAUGGAUGUUAGGUUGAAACUGAUUGUUCAACUGAACCUGGCUCUGCAUGGCUGCUAGCACCAAAAACAUUGCAGCAUGAGAGAAAUGAUGGCCUAGUGCUAUUAUUGCUGGACUCUUAAUCCAGAGACCCAUGUAAUAAUCUGGGGACACAGGUACACAUCCUGCCAAGGUAGAUGGUGGAAUUUGAAUUCUGAGGAAGGGUCACUGAACCUGAAAUGUUAACUCUGAUUUCUCUCCACAGAUGCUGCCAGACCUGCUGAGCUUUACCAGCAAUUUCUGUUUUUGUUUCAGUAAUUCAGAGUUUGAAGAUGACCAUGAGACCAUUGUUGAUUGUCAGGAAUAACCCAUCUGGUUCACUAAUGUCCUUUAGGGAAGAAAACUGCCAUCCUUACCUGGUCUGGUCUACAUAUGACUCCAGACCCACAGCAAUGUGGCUGGCUCUUAACUGCCCUCUGGGCAUUUAGGGAUGGGCAAUAAAUGCUGCCUAGCCAGCGACUCCCUCAUCCCGUGAGUACAUUUUUAAAAAGUGCUCAUAUGCCAGAGUCACAACACCAGAGAACUAGAGCAGACUCCUCUGCCCUCCACUCCAAUCAGUGCAUCUCUGGCACCCCUGUCGGACAUUCCUCUGCUAGUCUUUGUUUCUUCAUCAUCUCAUUAAUGCAUGAGUCCAUCGGCUCAACAUCUGUACUAGGCUCAGCAGCAGCCAGUUUUCUAGCAGACCCCUGAGUAUCAGAGACCUCGGCUGCUUCUUUCUUCUCUAGCUGUAGCUCUGUGUCGGUGCUGUGCUCACAAGACUGUGACACCAAGCCUGCCCCUGACAGAUUACCCAAAGAGGUGAACGUUUCUAUGCUGGUGGCCUGUGGGAACGAGAGUCAUGAUAAUGCAUUAUCUUGGAGAAUUGUGGCUGUUCCUCCUCAAAAGGUCUGGUUCGAAAAGCUGAUGAAGAGUGGUGUAGAGGCUAGGGCACCACUUUUCAUGAGCUCCCAUCAUUAUAUUAUCCAAGGUUUCAGGAUGCUGCUGCUUGUUGUACAAGUCGCUCCUUGGAGGCUUUUUCACUAGACGGCAAUAUAUAUUCAAUCUUCCCUUCAGCAAAGGCACGUUCCCCAUGCUACCCUGCCAGUUUGGUGCUAUAUGGUCAGCCAUCCUGCCCCGUCUGUGCAUCUCCACUUUGAUUCACAUUCUCUGCAGAAAGAAAGAACCAAUAAGACACAAUCGCAUAGUAGAUGAGAACUAUGCCUGUAUAGAUAUAGACAAAGAUGUCAACCUCCUGAGCUGUGAUUGUACAUUACUAGUAAGAACAAUGUUGUAUGAAGCUAAAGUGUUCUGAUUGAAAAGUUGUUUCAUGUUGUCAAACAAUUAGACUUGAUGCAAAUCAAUAAAAUGUUACCUGAAAUGUGUGC